CUAGCCGUAAACGAUGGGUACUAGGUGUCGGUGGUUUCGAUACCAUCUGUGCCGGAGUUAACGCAAUAAGUACCCCGCCUGGGGAGUACGUGCGCAAGCAUGAAACUCAAAGGAAUUGACGGGGGCCCGCACAAGCGGUGGAGCAUGUGGUUUAAUUCGAAGCAACGCGAAGAACCUUACCAGGCCUUGACAUCCCCUGACCGUCAGGGAAACAUGGCUUCGCUUCGGAGCAGGGAGACAGGUGG
rnacentral:rRNA from 1 species